rnacentral:lncRNA from 1 species
AAGAAGAAUAAAGUCUGGGACAAAAAUGAAUAUUUAUUACUAAUUGGCAUUAACAAUCUGCUUUGUGUGUGACCAGAGACUGGAACUGUUAGCUCUGCAAAAGCCUAAUUCUACAAAGAUCAUCUCAUUUCCGUAGAAAAAAAUGGAGUCACUGCUGUAGCAUCAGGCAUCUUUGCUGCAUUUUCAACCCAUUUGCUGAA